rnacentral:rRNA from 1 species
CACGUAGGGGGCGAGCGUUGUCCGGAUUUAUUGGGCGUAAAGAGCUCGUAGGCGGCUCGGUAAGUCAGGUGUGAAAACUCUAGGCUCAACCUAGAGACGCCACCUGAUACUGCCGUGGCUAGAGUCCGGUAGGGGAGCAUGGAAUUCCUGGUGUAGCGGUGAAAUGCGCAGAUAUCAGGAGGAACACCGAUGGCGAAAGCAGGUACCUGGACCAUUACUGACGCUCAGCUGCGAAAGCUAGGGGAGCAAACAGG